GUUUUCGGUGGGCCGUGUGGGGACACCCGCAAGGGUGUGCCGGUCCUGUGUCCGGUCCGCCAACCCUGCACGGUCCACCACCUUU
rnacentral:antisense_RNA from 1 species